UACGGAGGGUGCAAGCGUUAAUCGGAAUUACUAGGCGUAAAGCGCGCGUAGGCGGUUGGGUAAGUCAGAUGUGAAAGCCCCGGGCUUAACCUGGGAACUGCAUUUGAUACUGUCUGACUCGAGUAUGGUAGAGGGGGGUGGAAUUCCCGGAGUAGCGGUGCAAUGCGUAGAUAUCGGGAGGAACACCAGUGGCGAAGGCGGCCCCCUGGACCAAUACUGACGCUUAGGUACGAAAGCGUGGGGCUCAAACAGG
rnacentral:rRNA from 1 species